rnacentral:hammerhead_ribozyme from 1 species
AUCCAGCCGAUGAAUCAGAAAUAGAACGAAACGCACGUCCUGGAU